UGANAUGGAAAAGAGGGGUAGAUGAGUUGAUGGAAAAGAAAAAAGUUUUAACUCCCAACGAGGCAGUGGACUGCAGCAAAUCAAUAUGACAACGUCAUGGGUUCAAACUAGGAGAGGAUGGAGACAUGGAAAAGAGGGGUAGAUGAGUUGAUGGAAAAGAAAAAAGUUUUAACUCCCAACGAGGCAGUGGACUGCAGGGUUAUGGGCAUUGGAGCAAUUUCGUCCAGAGAGCUUAUAGUAGUCACCACAGUACAGAGACGUGAAUUAGAAGGAUCUUAUUGAUAAAUCAAUAUGACAACGUCAUGGGUUCAAACUAGGAGAGGAUGAAGUCAGUUAAAAGAGGGGCAGAGGAUGAACUUCAAAAGAGGGGCAGAUGAGGAGAUGAAAGAGAAAAUAGUUUUAACUCCCAACGAGGCAGUGCACGGCUGGGUUAUGGGCAUUGGAGCAAUUUCGUCCAGAGAGCUUAUAGUAGUCACCACAGUACAGAGACGUGAAUUAGAAGGAUCUUAUUGAUAAAUCAAUAUGACAACGUCAUGGGUUCAAACUAAGAGAGGAUGGAGUCAGGUAAAAGAGGGGCAGAUGAGGAGAUGAAAAAGAAAAAAGUUUUAACUCCCAACGAGGGCAGUGGACUGCAGGGUUAUGGGCAUUGGAGCAAUUUCGUCCAGAGAGCUUAUAGUAGUCGCCACAGUACAGAGACGUGAAUUUGAUGGAUCUUAUUGAGUGACAAAUCAAUAUGACAACGUCAUGGGUUCAAACUAGGAGAGGAUGAAGUCAUUUAAAAGAGGGGCAGAUGAGGAGAUGAAAGAGAAAAUAGUUUUAACUCCCAACGAGGCAGUGUACGGCAGGGUUAUGGGCAUUGGAGCAAUUUCGUCCAGAGAGCUCAUAGCUGUGGGAGCUUAUAGCAGUCGCCACAGUACAGAGACGUGAAUUAGAAGGAUCUUAUUGACAAAUCAAUAUGACAACGUCAUGGGUUCAAACUAGGAGAGGAUGAAGUCAGGUAAAAGAGGGGCAGAUGAGGAGAUGAAAGAGAAAAUAGUUUUAAUCCCAACGAGGCAGUGUACGGCAGGGUUGUGGGUAUUGGAGCAAUUUCGUCCAGAGAGCUUAUAGUAGUCGCCACACAGAGACGUGAAUUAGAAGGACCUUAUUGACAAAUCAAUAUGACAACGUCGUGGAUUCAAACUAGGAGAGGAUGGAGUCAGGUAAAAGAGGGGCAGAUGAGCAGAUGUAAAAGAAAAAAGUUGUGUAACUCCCAACGAGGCAGUGGACUAUAGGGUUAUGGGCAUUGGAGCAAUUUCAUCUAGAGAGCUUAUAGUAGUUGCCAGUACAGAGACGUGAGUUAGAAGGAUCUUGAAAGAAAUCAAUAUGACGUCGUCAUGGGUUCAAACUAGGAGAGGAUGGAGUCAGGUAAAAGAGGGGCAGAUGAGGAGAUGAAAAAGAAAAAAGUUUUUUAACUCCCAACGAGGCAGUGGACUGCAGGGUUAUGGGCAUUGGAGCAAUUUCAUCCAGAGAUCUUAUAGUAGUCGCCACAGUACAGACAUGUGAAUUAGAAGGAUCUUAUGGGCAUUGGAGCAAUUUCAUCCAGAGAGCUUAUAGUAGUCGCCACAGUACAGACAUCAAAUCAAUAUGACAACGUCAUGGGUUCGAACUAAGAGAGGAUGGAGUCAGGUAAAAGAGGGGCAGAUGAGGAGAUGAAAAAGAAAAAAGUUUUAACUCCCAACGAGGGCAGUGGACUGCAGGGUUAUGGGCAUUGGAGCAAUUUCGUCCAGAGAGCUUAUAGUAGUCGCCACAGUACAGAGACGUGAAUUAGAAGGAUCUUAUUGAGUGAGCACGGUAAAAUAUUGACAUAUUGAAAAUGUUGCUGCAAAUCAAUAUGACAACGUCAUGGGUUCAAACUAGGAGAGGAUGAAGUCAGGUAAAAGAGGAGCAGAUGCGGAGAUGAAAAAGAAAAAAGUUGUAACUCCCAAGGAGGCAGUGGACUGCAGGGUUAUGGGCAUUGGAGCAAUUUCAUCCAGAGAGCUUAUAGUAGUCACCACAGUAUAGAGACGUGAAUGAGAUGGAUUUUAUUGAGAUAUUGUUCGAAGUGAAUUGUUGGAAAGCAAUACAUGGUUUGAUUCUCGGCGGAAACUUGAAAGAAUUUCCGACAAAAUUGUAGUAAAAGAGGCGCAGAUGAGGAGAUGAAAAAGCAAGAAGUUCCAAUUCCCAAGGAGGCAGUGUUAGACAUUGAACAGUAAGCUACUGCAGAAUUUUGUAAAGAAACAAGCGUAAUGGGCUUAAAGGACACCCAAAGCCCAAAAGAAGGCGGAAAGUAAGUCCAAUCCAAAGCCCAACAAGAAGUUGAGAGGGAGAGAGAGAGUAGAGGAGGGGAAGAUCUCUCACCCAAAAGAUUGUGCUUAACGUCGCAUCUGAUCUGACAACAAAAUACCACCAUCCCCUUCUUCCAAAUCCAAAAAAAAAAAAAAAAAAAAAAAAAAGAAAAAAAAAAGAAAAAAAAAAGAAGAAGAAUCCUCUAAAACCCCAGCAUUUAAAAUCCUAAACCCCAUCGAUUCCCACUUUAAUUCUUACUAAAAUUAAAAAAGAAAACAAAAAAAAAAAAAUAUAUGACUGUGAUUACAGAGAGCUGGGUUCAUCACAGGCAUUGCAAUGGCAAAUGUUUUUGUUUUCCUUCUUCUUCUCUGUAUUUAAUCCUUAAAUCAAACUGGGUUCGCU